GUGAUUCUCAGAGUUCUUCAUUUUGUCGUCGUUCUCUGAGCAAGCUGGCAUUGAAAUGCCAAAAAUGAUGGAUUUCUUUCCUAAAGCACAGAAGUUUGGAAUGGAUACUUCAAUAUUGGAUUUGAAGAAAUUAUUAGAAGAUAACUUUUAGUUACUUUCAUCGAAAAUUGACUCUAUUUUGAGUUGUUUGAAUGAUAUGGAGAAGUCCUUUGCUGAGGUGGAUUACCGUCUGAGUGCUGUUGAGGAGAGAGAAGCAUCUGUUGAAGGUCAAUUAAAUAGUUUGCGAAUGCAAGUGGUUCAGAAUGAAUAUUUUGUGGAUUUAAAUUUAAGUCAACUGCAUUCACAUAACUUAAUUAUUCGUGGUCUUUAUUCAGAGAAUGUAUCAGAAUUAGAUAAUCAGAUAAAAGAAUUUAUGAAAUUAUUAGAUAUUGAUG
rnacentral:lncRNA from 1 species